GAGAGGGAGAGAGAGAGAGAGAGACAGAGAGAGAGAGAAAGAAAGAAAGAAAGAAAAAGAGAGAGACAGUAAAAUAUAAGUGACACGUAAAGAAAGUAACACGAAAGAGAAAGAGAAGAUGGAAAGAAGAAAACAAAAAACGAUAGAGAAGAAAACGGAAUCACUCGCCUGAACAAUGUUGCGUUUGAGGAGCCGUGGUAGCAACUGCCCGCAGUAACAGUCGUCAGCUGAUUUCGACUGGCUGGCUGGAUGGCUGGCUGGGUAAGGGAAGCGUUGAUUGGUAGAGAUCCUAGAAGGAGGGGAAGGACGGUUGACGAGUAGGACGAUAGUAGAAGGAGCGGCAUGGCGCGGCCGGUGAGGGAGAAUCAUUUCAAAGCAUUGACAGGAACGUAUCACGAGGAUGACGAUAAGUCAUCAUCCCAGAUGUCAAUACUCUUCACUUUUUCACCUUUCCAUUUUGAUUAUUUAUUUCUCUUAUAUAUUCUAAUGUUCAACACGUACGAAAAACAUAUAGUAUCAAUGUCACACUAUUAUUUUUACAAAAUAUAUACAUAUAUACGUGCGCUUAUUAUAAUUCUAUCGUAUAAUUAUUAAUAUCAUCAAAAAUGACAUCGUUGUAGACGAUUAGUUCUGAUCGAUCGCACGCCAUCAUAAAAUUCCAUUCAUUCAUCUAUUAGUAGGAAUUGGAAUUGUGAUUGCUUUCAUAAAUGUUUUGGUUAUAAAAGUACUUUUUUAUCGAAAAAAAAAAAAAAAAGAAAAUAUGCGUUGUUCGUUCGUUGUUCUAAUCAUUAACGAUGAACUUUGUACACGCGUAAGUUGUUACCGUUCGCUCAAUUUAGAACGUCAAAAGGUCGUCAUAAUAUCGACAGAAGGCAAGUCCGAGUAUCGUAAGAAUUAUAUGAUGCCUUUGUCCUCUCUCGUAGGAACGAAGACAUAUAUCAUAAAAAUAGAAUUUAUGUGCAAUAUUUCUUACGAAAAUGAUUUCGACUUGGCAUCGAUAUAUUUCUUUCUUGGAAAGUUUUUUCAAUUAUAGUUCGUACGCGCAUUAAGUAGAUAUUCGAGCUAAUGAUUUCUGAAAAUAUGAGAGGGGACUUUAAUCAUUAUAUCACGGUACUGAGAUAACUGAGUAGGUGGGAGAACGCUCAGCUGAGCGAACAGCUGCUGGACGAUUCUUAACGACAGAAACCAAUGCAGCUCCCUGAAGAAUUAUUUAUGUUUUCAAUUUUUCUUUCAUUUUAUACAAUAAAAAUAUAACGUCACACGUUAUCACGAUUAUGAGGAUCACAGUCGACAAUUAUACGAUUAGUUAUGCUAAUUACCAAAUAAUUAAACAUAAACAAUCGUUUGAUUUGUACUCUGCAGCUUGAGUGAUUAGAUGUGACGUAUAUAAUGCCACUAAUCUGUCGAAAGAACAUCUCUGACUAAACAGGAAAGAAUGAUAGUUUCAUGAGACUGCGCUGUUUGUCACGUCGAUAGUUAUUUCAGAGGGUUUCCGUCACUUCGCCAUCAACGAAAAACUUUUGUGUACAUUGUAAACACUUCGUCAUUAAUAUUAUAAUUCUUUUAUUCUUUGUGUGUAAUAAUGGGUUUUUAAAGAAAUAACUAAAUGUAUUAAAAUAAAAAUGAUUGAUAAAUA